UGAAUACGAGACGCUACGGCGUCGAAGCAGUCUAUGUCAUACUUCCAAGAAAAGCUUGCACUGUCAUAAACAAAUAAUGCCUGUACCAUAACCGACACAGGUGGGUAGGUAGAGUAUACUAAGGGGCGCGAGAUAACUCUCUCUAAGGAACUCGGCAAAAUGACUCCGUAACUUCGGGAGAAGGAGUGCCUUAUUUAUAAGGUUGCAAUAACAAGAUCCAAGCAACUGUUUAUCAAAAACACAGGUCUCCGCUAAGUCGUAAGACGAUGUAUGGGGGCUGACGCCUGCCCAGUGCCAGAAGGUUAAAGAAGUUGGUUAGCAUUAGCGAAGCUGAUAACUGAAGCCCUGGUGAACGGCGGCCGUAACGAUAACGGUCCUAAGGUAGCGAAAUUCCUUGUCGGGUAAGUUCCGACCCGCACGAAAGGCGUAAUGAUUUGGAUACUGUCUCGGAGAGGGGCUCGGUGAAAUAGACUUGUCUGUGAAGAUGCGGACUACCUGCACCUGGACAGAAAGACCCUAUGAAGCUUUACUGUAACCUGAAAUUGAAAUUGGACUUUAUUUGCGCAGUAUAGGUGGGAGGCGUUGAGAAUAUUCUUGCGGGAAUAUUGGAGCCAUCAGUGAGAUACCACUCUUGUAAUGUUAGAUUUCUAACUUUGAAUCAUUAUCUGGUCAAAGAACAGUUUCAGGCGGGCAGUUUGACUGGGGCGGUCGCCUCCUAAAUGGUAACGGAGGCGCACAAAGGUUUCCUCUGAACGGGUAGAAAUCGUAUCUAGAGUGUAAAGGCAUAAGGAAGCUUGACUGUGAGACCUACAAGUCGAGCAGGGACGAAAGUCGGUCUUAGUGAUCUGACGGUGCUGAGUGGAAAGGCCGUCACUCAACGGAUAAAAGUUACUCUAAGGAUAACAGGCUGAUCUCCCCCAAGAGUUCACAUCGACGGGGAGGUUUGGCACCUCGAUGUCGGCUCAUCGCAUCCUGGGGCGGUAGUACGUCCCAAGGGUUGGGCUGUUCGCCCAUGAAAGCGGUACGCGAGCUGGGUUCAGAACGUCGUGAGACAGUUCGGUCCAUAUCCGGUGUAGGCGUUAGAAUAUUGAGAGGAGCCUUCUUUAGUACGAGAGGACCGAGAAGGACAUACCUCUGGUGUACCAGUUAUCGUGCCAACGGUAAACGCUGGGUAGCUAUGUAUGGAGAGGAUAACCGCUGAAAGCAUCUAAGUGGGAAGCCCACCUCAAGAUAAGUAUUCUC
rnacentral:rRNA from 1 species